GUGACCAUGGUGUAGUGGUAACACAGCAGCCUGUGGCGCUGCUUUCUCGGGUUCGAAUCCCGAUGGUCACCCCA
rnacentral:tRNA from 1 species